AUUGAACGCUGGCGGCAGGCCUAACACAUGCAAGUCGAGCGGUAGAGAGAAGCUUGCUUCUCUUGAGAGCGGCGGACGGGUGAGUAAUGCCUAGGAAUCUGCCUGGUAGUGGGGGAUAACGUUCGGAAACGGACGCUAAUACCGCAUACGUCCUACGGGAGAAAGCAGGGGACCUUCGGGCCUUGCGCUAUCAGAUGAGCCUAGGUCGGAUUAGCUAGUUGGUGAGGUAAUGGCUCACCAAGGCGACGAUCCGUAACUGGUCUGAGAGGAUGAUCAGUCACACGGGAACUGAGACACGGUCCAGACUCCUACGGGAGGAAGCAGUGGGGAAUAUUGGACAAUGGGCGAAAGCCUGAUCCAGCCGUGCCGCGUGUGUGAAGAAGGUCUUCGGAUUGUAAAGCACUUUAAGUUGGGAGGAAGGGUUGUAGAUUAAUACUCUGCAAUUUUGACGUUACCGACAGAAUAAGCACCGGCUAACUCUGUGCCAGCCGCCGCAGUAA
rnacentral:rRNA from 1 species